AAUUAAUAUUAAUCAAUAUAACAAAAAAUAUUUUAACCAUAUGGUCCUUUCGUACUAAUAUGGAUUAACAAUCUUAGGAUAGAAACCGACCUGGCUCACGCCGGUCUGAACUCAGAUCAUGUAAGAAUUUAAAGGUCGAACAGACCUAAUCAUUGGGCUCCUGCACCCAAAAUUUUUCUUAAUCCAACAUCGAGGUCGCAAUCUGCUUUGUCGAUAUGAGCUCUCAAAAACAAUUACGCUGUUAUCCCUAAGGUAACUUAAUCUUAUGAUCAUAAAUUAUGGAUCAGAAUAACAAACAUAAAUAAAUGAUAUAAUAAUGAAGAGUUUAUCUAUUCUUCAUGUCACCCCAACAAAACAUCAUCAUUAAAUAUAGAAAGACAAACAAAAAACUAUAUAAAAGUAAAAUGUCAAGCUCUAUAGGGUCUUCUCGUCCUAAAGAAGAAUUUAAGCCUUUUGACUCAAAAGUUAAAUUCAAAAAUUUAUUAAGAGACAGUUGAUUUCUCGUCAAGCCAUUCAUUCCAGCCACUAAUUAAGUGACUAAUGAUUAUGCUACCUUUGCACGGUCAAAAUACCGCGGCUCUUUAAAAAUACGCUCAGUGAGCAGGCCAGACCUCAAAAUAUAAACAAGAGAUAUUUUUUUGAUAAACAGGCGGAAAUCAAUUUUGCCUAGUUCCUUAUAAUAAGUUCACAAGGUAAAAAUUUCAUACAAAUAAAUAUACUAAUUCUAUCAUUAUUACAAAAAUUUUAAAAUUAAAUUAAUAAUCUUAAUAAAAAACCUAAAAUAUUUAUAAAAUCAAAAUAAAAAAUAAUGAACUAAAACGUAAUCUUAAAGAUAGCUGGUUUAAAGCUUACUAUUAUAUUUCUAUAAAAUAAAUUAUAGGUUAUUAACUUCAAAGCUUAUCCCUUAAAGAAUAAAUAAGUUAAUAUUUUUACUUAAAAAAUUAAAUAAAAACAAAUAACUUUAAAAAAUUAAAUUUUUUCUUAAGAAACUAGAUAUCUUGGGAAACGAUUAACAUCUCAUUUCUAUAAAUAAUUUAAUAAUUAUUAUGAUACAUUAACUAUAAAUUAUUUAUAAAUCAACCCAAAUCGAGACAAGUAAAAUAAAUACUAAAAUUUAGAUAAACCCUGAUACAAAAGGUACAAUAAAUGAAA